rnacentral:rRNA from 1 species
GACGUAGGGCGCGAGCGUUGUCCGGAUUUAUUGGGCGUAAAGAGCUCGUAGGCGGUUUGUCGCGUCUGCUGUGAAAACUCGGGGCUUAACUCCGGGCCUGCAGUGGGUACGGGCAGACUAGAGUGCGGUAGGGGAGACUGGAAUUCCUGGUGUAGCGGUGAAAUGCGCAGAUAUCAGGAGGAACACCAGUGGCGAAGGCGGGUCUCUGGACAGUUCCUGACGCUGAGGCACGAAGGUCAGGGGAGCAAACGGG